GUCGCCAUGUGAUCCCAGGAAGAGAGGACGCUUAAGGCCGGUGUCCUCGGUUGGCUGGAGAGAAUCCUGAGACUGAGUCUUCCUGUCCUCAAUGUGACUGAAGAAUGAAUGCCAGCUCUGAGACCCUGUUUCUGUCUUAAAUACAUCUCAUGAGUCCUGGGAUGAAAGGCAUGUGAUCCCAGAGCCUUCAUCCAGCAGCUGAUGGAAGCAGAAGCAGAGAUCCACAGCUGAACACCAAGCAGAACUCCAGGAAUCCAGUGGCAGAGAGGGAAGAGUGAUGAGCAAAGGGGUCAGGACCAGACUGGAGAAACCCAUGGAAACAGCUGACCUGAACAAGGUGUUGCUCAUGGACCCUAGACUGAUAGCUGGGAAACCAGCAUAGGACUGUUCCAAACCCCCUGAGUGUGGAUGUCAGUUUGGAGGUCUGGGCAAUCUAUGGGGUCUCUGGUAGUGGAUCAGUAUUUAAUCCCUUGUGUAUGAAUGGACUUUGGGAGCCCAUUCCACAUAGAGGGGUACUCUCUCAGCCUAGACACACAGGGGAGGGUCUAGGCCCUGCUCCAAAUGAUGUGACAGACUUUGAAGGUCUCCCAUGGAAGGCCUCACCCUACAUGGGGAGCCCGAAGGAGGUUGGGAUGGAGGGGGCAGGGGAGGAAGGGAGGGAGAGGGAUUUGGGAUUGAAGUGUAAAAGAAGCUUGUUUCUAAUAAAAGAAAG
rnacentral:lncRNA from 1 species